rnacentral:rRNA from 1 species
GAUGAACGCUGGCGGCGUGCUUAACACAUGCAAGUCGAACGAAGCACUUUAUUUGAUUUCCUUCGGGACUGAUUAUUUUGUGACUGAGUGGCGGACGGGUGAGUAACGCGUGGGUAACCUGCCUUGUACAGGGGGAUAACAGUUGGAAACGGCUGCUAAUACCGCAUAAGCGCACAGCAUCGCAUGAUGUAGUGUGAAAAACUCCGGUGGUAUAAGAUGGACCUGCGUUGGUUUAGCUAGUUGGUGAGGUAACGGCCCACCAAGGCGACGAUCCAUAGCCGACCUGUUAGGGUGACCAGCGACAUGUGGACUGAGACACAGACCAAACUCCUGCGGGAGGCAGCAAUGGGCAAUAUUGCAAAAUGGGCGGAAUCCUGAUGCAGCGACGCCACGUGAGCGAAGAAGUAUUUCGGUAUGUAAAGCUCUAUCAGCAGUGAAGGUAAUGACGUUACCUGACUAAGAAGCACCGGCUAAAUACGUG